rnacentral:lncRNA from 1 species
UUUGACUUUCAUUAUGGAUUUUACUGUGUUCUCUGUGUAAUUAUCAAUUUCAGACAUUAUUUAUUUUGAUGUUUAUAUUGUACCUAAUUUGGUGUUAACUUCUGGGUCUUGCAUUCACUUGACAUAGCAUCAACAAUUAUUGAACUUGUCCUUGAUUUCUAGCAUGACAAGAUGUCUUGCAAUUAACUUGUGUUUUCCCUGACCCUUACUUGGAAAAGCAAUUUCUCCAUGCAGCUCUGAUUUCUUUUGAGGCUGGCAUUUUGCAACCAGUCAGAUAUUCUAUUGCUUCAACUUACCUUCAUGGGCAGAGAUAGGAAAUUUAUUUUUAAGAAUGUAGAUAUCAUGAGUUUAUAUUAAUAUAUUUUACUGAAUUUUCUUUUAUAUUUUUAAUAUUUAAAUUAAUACAUUAAAAUAAUUUUCAUGUUAUCCUAAGAUAUAUUUGAAUAGUUUCAAAGUUACAAUGACAAUAGUACAAUUAACAUACCUAUGAUUUAGGUUAUUCCUUUGCUGGACCUUAAAAUAUAUACCACUGAGGAUAUAUAGAAUAGAGUGUUUGAAUGUCUCCUGGAAACAGUUCAUGUCACCAAAUUGAUAAAUGGCUAGGAUAAUUUAUUUAUAUUCAUUUGAGAUUUACAUUCACUUUUUAUAUUUUUAAAAAUUUUUGAAUAGCUAAAACAUGCAUGCCAAAAUAUAUAAGAUUUUAUGUUUUAGGAAGUCACUUGCCCAUUUUCAUCUGUAUUUUACUUUUCCUCUUGACUUCUGUAUUUGUCUAGUUUGGCAUCUGGUUUAUACUUCCAGUGUUUCUUUUUUGUAAAAAGAUAUAAGUAUGCCUAUAUUUUGUGUACUUAAUUCAUACAUGUAAAGUGUAUCUAGUAUAUGAAUUGUUAUAUUUUUUUCCAUUUACUUUUGAAAUGCUG